UUAAGUACGCCAAUCCUCAUAAGAACCACAAGCAGCAGGAGCAGCAUCGGCAACAGUGACGGAACGGGGAACAACAGUAAGUUGAGGGACAACUGGAGGUUGAGAGACAAAUGGAGGUGGAGAGACAUCCAUAUUAGGAGAACCAACAGCGGUAAACGAACCAGCCGAGGUAGGAGAAGGAGCAGCAGUAGGAGGAAUAGGAGGAGCAGUAGGAGGUAGAGGGAAUCCAAUAGACUUUAAAACGUGAGAGAAAAACUGUCGUUG
rnacentral:lncRNA from 1 species